AGAGCAAAAGGAGCAAUUCACCUAAGUAGGGGCUCGAGUUUGAUUAGCUAGUUGGUAAGGCAAUAGCUUACCAAGAUGAUGAUCAGUAGCUGGUCCAAGAGGAUGAUCAACCACACUAGGACUGAGAUACAGCCUAGACUCUUACAAGAGGCAGUUAGUGGGGAACUUUCCACAAUGGGCAAAAGCUUGACGAAUUAAUGCCACGUUGAGGUAGAAAGCUCUGGAUCAUGAACUUCUUUCCUUGGAGAAGAAGCUAUGAUGGUAUCUAGGGAAUAAGUAGCAGCUAAGUCUAUGCAAACAGCUGCAAUAAUACAGAGGGUGAAAAUGCUAUCUAGAAUGAUUAGAUGUAAAGCAUCUAUAAGUGGCUUUUUAAGUCCACCGCCAAAUCCCAAGGCUCAACCCUAGUUAGGUAGUGGAAACUACCAAGUUGGAGUAUGAUAGGGCUGAGGAAGUUUUUAGUGGAGCAGUGAAAUGUGUAGAGAUCAUAAAGAACUCCAACGACGAAAGCACUCUACUAAAUUAACACUAACACUAAGAGGUGAAAGUUAGGGAAACGAAUGGGAUUAAAUCCUCUAGUAGUCCUAGCCAUAAAUGAUAAAUAUUAAGCAUUGUGCAUAUCAACCCAUGCAAUACUAUCCCGCCUAGGGAGUACGUUCAUAAGACUAAAACUCAAAGGAAUUGAAGGGGGCCCACACAAGCCAUGAAGCAUGUGCUUUAAUUCAAUGCAAAGCGAAGAACUUUACCAGCACUUGACAUGUUGCGAAUCCUCUUGAAAGAGAGGUGUGCCUUCGAGAACGCGGACCCAGGUGGUACAUGGCUAUUGUCAACUUGUACCAUAAUGUAUUAUGUUAAGUCCUGCAACAAGCACAACCCCAUGUUUAGUUGUCACCAUUGAGUUUGGAAUUCUGAAUAGAUUGUCGGUGAUAAGCCGAAGGAAUGUGAAGAUGACGUCAAGUCAUCAUACCCCUUAUGCAAUGGGUGACACAUGUGCUACAAUGGCCGUGACAAAGGAUAGCAAUCCUACGAGGCUAAGCUCACUCCAAAAACUUGUCCUUACUUCUGAUUGCAGGCUACAACUCACCUGCAUGAAGUUGGAAUUGCUAGUAAUCACCAAUCAGCCACACGGCAGUGAAUUCAUUCUCAAGCCUUACACACACCACCCUUCACACU
rnacentral:rRNA from 1 species